GGGCGACACAAAGGCGGCAUGGAGAAACUUUUCAGCCCGAGCCGACGGCGGGCCGCGGGGACAGCGGCGCGGGGGCCCCGGGGCGCGCGCGGCUCAGCGGCCCGGCACGGGCGAGUGUCCCGGCCGGGCUAGCGGCCCCCUCCGGCGCCGUGGCGGGAGCCAUUUCCAAGAGUUUCCAAGAAGUGCCGGGUCCCCGGCGGCGUCCUGCGUCCGCUCCAGCCGGCCCCUCCGGCGCUCCGCCUCCCGCGCGCCGCGUUCCCUCCCGCGGCGCUCCCUGGCCGCCGUGAGCCCGCUUGGUCCCCGGCCUCGCGCCUCUUUUGUGUGGCUUCGGCGCGCCGGGCUCCGCCGGGUGGAGUGAAGCUCGGGGCGGCCGGACUGGCGGCUGUUGCUAAGAGACCGGAGCCAUGACACAGGGAGAUUGCGGCAGGAUGGCAGUCGCUACCGGCCCGGAUCGGCGGCUCGGGGGCGCCCCCGCCCGCUCCUCCGGGCCCCCCUCCGCGACCGUCCCCGCGUCUCCGCUGCUUUUCCAGCCCGCCGGCCGCCCGUCCCUUCGGAAGCCAGGCGCCUGGGAGCUGGGGCGCGAGGGCAGGCGCGGAGGCAUCGCCGCGGGGCGCAGGGCGCCCCACCUUCCCGCCCGGGUCGGCUGGUUCGUCGCUGCCCACGCUGGCAGCUCGCUGCUUUCCCCAACUACCUGUCUGCGUAGCCCGAGGGGCCCCCAGGCCCGGCCCGCCUCUCCCGGGCGUCCCCCACCGCACCCGGGAGCGCUCUCCGGGGAGCCCGGCGGUGCCCCGUGCCUCUCCCCCUGGGCCUCUCUCUGCGCUUUUGUGGCCUCCACCCCGCGACGCGACACAGCCUUGGCGGAGUCACCCCUCCCACCCGGGAGUUUGCAGUGUGGACGCCCGCCCGCGAGCGAGCACAUUUUCUGGAUGAACUCAGAUUUCAUACUCAUGUCACACUUCAUUGAAAUUAGAAAUUUGCAGAAUCACAACCAAGAGGAUAUUCUCCAGACCAGAGAUCUGAGGACUCCAAGAAAGCACUGCCCGGGCCGUAUCUACACGAGCAGAAAGAAGUCACCACCCCAGCUUUUCCCCACAGGACGCUGCUGGCUAGAGGGACAGGUGCUUGCCUCUGCCUCCAAUCCCUAGGGCCCCACAAAUGAAUCUCUGAAGAGAGAGAACUCAGCUUCACUUUCAAGAACUACGGUUUGGAAAGCAAAGAUAAAGUCAAACCAGUGUGGAGGUCAUGACCGGGCCCCUUUCUUGUGCUUAUGAGAGAUAUCCAAGAAGUUCAAACCCAAGCCCUUUCAACUCAAAGCCCAGGAUAAAGAAAUAAUACAAAGUCUAAGCGCCUUCCUUAGAGCACACCUGACAGGGUUUUCUACCUCUGUGCCAGGUAAGUGGAUGUGGCAGUGUCAGCCUCCGUUUCUGUCUCCAGUCCUGUUCAUUCUUAUUAUUACAAAUAACCCCACUCUGAAUUGCAGGCCUACCAGAAGGUUGUUUUCUCUAACAAGUGGGUUCAUUCUCUGUACAUUCAAUUUUCCCAAAUAGCCUGAAUUUUCUACUGUUUUCCAUAAACAACGUCAAAGUGGGAUUCUGUGCCUUGCAGAGUAAUUUGAGGCCUGAGAUGAAGAUCUAGAAAGGGCGGCAGGCUUGAAAGCAGAUCAAAGAUGAGCUUGGAAAGGGCUUUGCCGAGAGGGCGACCUCAGUGGAGCCGCCAGGAAGAGCCCAUAGCUAUGUUUCGCCUGUGUUCCCAAAGUGCAUCCAGUGUCCACCCUGACAUUCAUAUUGUUUUGUAUAAUCUACGGUGUGGUGGACAGAUGACUUUUCCUACUGAGAGCUCAAUAAACUAUAACUUACUUCUCUGAUCUUUCAAAAUUAAUUGUGAUGGGAGAGUGGUGUCUGAAAACGAUCAAGACGUAUGACGUAUCUCAAAUAUACACGGAUAAAAGAGAAGCAUCACUGAGAGAAGAGCUGCUUUGGGUAUGAAGCAGAAAAGAGGAGCUAGCUUUGGAAAGUAGCAGAUGACAAGAGCCCAGGAUCUUGGUACCUCCUGGGACCACAACUGAUUCACCCAAGAGCAUUUUGUUAGACACCUCUUUCAGGUGUGCACACAAAAGCCCUGUCUCCUGGUGGGUAGAG
ensembl:lncRNA